rnacentral:tRNA from 1 species
UCCCAGGUGGCUCAGAUGGUAAAGAAUCUGCCUACAAAGCAGGAGACCUGGGUUUGAUUCCUGAGUUGGGAA